rnacentral:rRNA from 1 species
GACGAACGCUGGCGGCGUGCUUAACACAUGCAAGUCGAACGGAAAGGCCCUGCUUUUGUGGGGUGCUCGAGUGGCGAACGGGUGAGUAACACGUGAGUAACCUGCCCUUGACUUUGGGAUAACUUCAGGAAACUGGGGCUAAUACCGGAUAGGAGCUCCUGCUGCAUGGUGGGGGUUUGAAAGUUUCGGCGGUUGGUGAUGGACUCGCGGCUUAUCAGCUUGUUGGUGGGGUAGUGGCUUACCAAGGCUUUGACGGGUAGCCGGCCUGAGAGGGUGACCGGCCACAUUGGGACUGAGAUACGGCCCAGACUCCUACGGGAGGCAGCAGUGGGGAAUAUUGCACAAUGGGCGGAAGCCUGAUGCAGCAACGCCGCGUGCGGGAUGACGGCCUUCGGGUUGUAAACCGCUUUCGCCUGUGACGAAGCGUGAGUGACGGUAAUGGGUAAAGAAGCACCGGCUAACUACGUG